GUAGGGGUGCCAGAUUUGUUAAUGGGGUUGAUUUAGGAUUAGUUUAUGACAUAAUUGCAGUAUGUUCUCCUAUU
rnacentral:tRNA from 1 species